CAGGACAGCUGACCCAGGGAGACAAAAGGGAAAUUGCAUUCCAUACAGCAUCUUCUCAGUAAUAAGAGCUAAGGCAGAGGUUGGAGGCACUCAGUUUUUUCUGACAUUUUUCUUCUGGGGCAACCUCUGCUGUACUGAAGCCCUGUUUCCUGGGGCAUGGCAGACAUUGCCUGUUGAUGGGAAAUGGAGAAAUAAGAUCCUUUUUCUUUUGCUUCUGCACCCAUAAUCUUUGCUUUUACUUUAUUAAACUGCCUUUAUCUUGACCCAUGAGAUUUUUUUUCUAUUUACUUCCUCCCUAGGUCCUGUCCUGCUGAGGAAAGUGAUAUUGUAUAGAUCCCCCUGGAGCAGGAAAUCUAGAGAUAGAGCACCUUGCACACACCCUGGGUCAAUCCACCACAGUGUGAAAAAAGGGUUUUGAACAAACCCUGAGCCCUGAGAUCUGAAGCCCACCAAACACGACCUGCAACACUGAGAAGCUCCUAUCAGAUCAAAUACAUUGGAUCUCCUCCCACACUUUGGAGAAUGGGCAGCACUUGGAAGUUCAGACAAAACAAAACCUAUUUCCACUAAUAAAGACAUACUUGAAUUUCUAAUCUGGCUGGAUGAUGGAUCAUGCUCUUCUUGACAGUGGAGUGUGAGCAGUGCAACAGUGGGUAAAUUUCUCAGGGUCCUUUCAGGUGCUGGAAGGCCACAAUCAGGUCACCCUGGAGCCCUCCCUGCUCCAGUCUGAACAAUCCCAGUUCUCUCAGCCUUUCCUCACAGCAGAGCUGCUCCAUCCCUCUGAUCAACUUGGUGGUCUCCUCUGGCCUGGCUCCAACACAUCCCUGUCUUCCCUGUGAUCAUUUUGAGUUGCAGCUGCUGCACAUCUGUGGCAAACACAAAGAGCUGAGACCUUCUCCACAGGGUCACGUGUCAUCCAGAACAACGCUUCAUCUACAAGCAGAUCCUGCUGGUUUUGCUUGUUUCACUCCUCUGAGCUCCGUGUUGUGCCUGACAGCACAGUGAAGUGACCCAUCCACCUGUGUUCUCUCACCAGACACCCCCAGGACUGGACAGAGGGAAUGGCUGUGGCGCUG